AUAUAUAUAUAUACAUAUGUUCUCAUCAAAAAAGAACACUGGGCGCCAAGAACAGAUGCCUGCCACUCUGAGUGGGAAGAAUAGAGUCAAGAGACGGUAAGGUCAAGCACAAGUUCGUGUUUUGCUGUUCCUGCUGUGGUUCUCUACUUUCUCAGAUCUCUUUGAGUACUUCUGCUCUGGCUGAACUAAUAACUACUUCACAAGAACGUGCUAAAGUAUGGACAUGUCAGAAGAUGAGGAAGAGGCUUCCCAACAUCUUGUCCAAGCUACCUGUGUAUUUGCCCGUAUAAUUGAAGCAUAUUAUAUGAAAUAUAUCCAUAAAACUCCUUUUCUGAAUUCUUCCCACACAGGGAAUAUAUGGGUUAUGGAAUUGCUACGUGGGAAUGAUGAACGAUUCUCUAGAAUGAUGAGAAUGGACAAGCGUGUGUUUUACAGAUUAUGCAGUGAGUUGCAGAACAAGUAUGAGUUUGAGGGUUAAAAAAGAAUGAGUGUUUUUGAGAUAUUGGGAAUGUUCUUACACAUUUUAGGACAUGGGGUAGUAAAUAGAUUAGCACAAGACCGAUUUCAACACUCUGGUGAGACUGUGAGUAGAUAUUUCACUUAUGUUUUGGAUAUGGUGUGUAACUUGGCUAUAGAAGUCAUACAGCCAGAGGAUCUUGAGUUCAAGAACACUGCACCACAGAUAUUGAGGGAUUCUAGAUAUAUGCCUCAU